GAUGAACGCUAGCGGCAGGCCUAACACAUGCAAGUCGAGGGGCAGCACGUAAAGUACUUCGGUACUUUUGGUGGCGACCGGCGCACGGGUGCGUAACGCGUAUGCAACCUACCUUAAACAGGGGGAUAAUUCGGAGAAAUCUGGUCUAAUACCCCAUAAUAUAAUGAACGGCAUCGUUUAUUGUUGAAAACUCCGGUGGUUUAAGAUGGGCAUGCGUGAUAUUAGUUAGUUGGUGAGGUAACGGCUCACCAAGACUACGAUAUCUAGGGGGACUGAGAGGUUAACCCCCCACACUGGUACUGAGACACGGACCAGACUCCUACGGGAGGCAGCAGUGAGGAAUAUUGGUCAAUGGACGCAAGUCUGAACCAGCCAUGCCGCGUGCAGGAAGACGGCUCUAUGAGUUGUAAACUGCUUUUGUACGAGGGUAAACCCGGCUACGUGUAGCCGGCUGAAAGUACCGUACGAAUAAGGAUCGGCUAACUCCGUGCCAGCCGCCGCCGUAACAC
rnacentral:rRNA from 1 species